rnacentral:rRNA from 1 species
GGGGGAACUGAAACAUCUAAGUACCCCGAGGAAAAGAAAUCAACCGAGAUUCCCCCAGUAGCGGCGAGCGAACGGGGAGGAGCCCAGAGCCUGAAUCAGUGUGUGUGUUAGUGGAAGCGUCUGGAAAGGCGCGCGAUACAGGGUGACAGCCCCGUACACAAAAAUGCACAUGCUGUGAGCUCGAUGAGUAGGGCGGGACACGUGGUAUCCUGUCUGAAUAUGGGGGGACCAUCCUCCAAGGCUAAAUACUCCUGACUGACCGAUAGUGAACCAGUACCGUGAGGGAAAGGCGAAAAGAACCCCGGCGAGGGGAGUGAAAAAGAACCUGAAACCGUGUACGUACAAGCAGUGGGAGCCUCUUUAUGGGGUGACUGCGUACCUUUUGUAUAAUGGGUCAGCGACUUAUAUUCUGUAGCAAGGUUAACCGAAUAGGGGAGCCGAAGGGAAACCGAGUCUUAACUGGGCGUUAAGUUGCAGGGUAUAGACCCGAAACCCGGUGAUCUAGCCAUGGGCAGGUUGAAGGUUGGGUAACACUAACUGGAGGACCGAACCGACUAAUGUUGAAAAAUUAGCGGAUGACUUGUGGCUGGGGGUGAAAGGCCAAUCAAACCGGGAGAUAGCUGGUUCUCCCCGAAAGCU